rnacentral:rRNA from 1 species
GACGAACGCUGGCGGCGUGCUUAACACAUGCAAGUCGAACGAUGAACCCGGAGCUUGCUCCGGCGGAUUAGUGGCGAACGGGUGAGUAACACGUGAGUAACCUGCCCUUGACUCUGGGAUAACUGCGGGAAACUGUAGCUAAUACCGGAUACGACCCUCGGCGGCAUCGCCAGGGGGUGGAAAGAAUUUCGGUCCAGGAUGGACUCGCGGCCUAUAAGCUAGUUGGUGAGGUAACGGCUCACCAAGGCGACGACGGGUAGCCGGCCUGGGAGGGGUGCCGGCGACACGGGGGCUGCGACACGGCCCAGACUCCUACGGGAGGCAGCAGUGGGGAAUAUUGCACGAUGGGCGCAAGCCUGAUGCAGCAACGCCGCGUGAGGGAUGACGGCCUUCGGGUUGUAAACCUCUUUUAGUAGGGAAGAAGCGAAAGUGACGGUACCUGCAGAAAAAGCACCGGCUAACUACGUGCCAGCAGCCGCAGUAA